CCCCAGGAUACAUGUCAGAUCAAGAGGAGGACAUGUGCUUUGAAGGAAUGAAACCCGUAAACCAAACUGCAGCCUCAAACAAGGGACUCAGAGGUCUCCUCCACCCACAGCAGUUGCACUUGCUGAGCAGGCAGCUUGAGGACCCAAAUGGUAGCUUUUCUAACGCUGAGAUGAGUGAACUGAGUGUGGCACAGAAACCAGAAAAACUUUUGGAGCGCUGCAAGUACUGGCCUGCUUGUAAAAAUGGGGAUGAGUGUGCCUACCAUCACCCCAUCUCACCCUGCAACCUUCCCCAAUUGUAAAUUUGCUGAAAAAUGUUUGUUUGUUCACCCAAAUUGUAAAUAUGAUGCAAAGUGUACUAAACCAGAUUGUCCCUUCACUCAUGUGAGUAGAAGAAUUCCAGUACUGUCUCCAAAACCAGUUGCACCACCAGCACCACCUUCCAGUAGUCAGCUCUGCCGUUACUUCCCUGCUUGUAAGAAGAUGGAAUGUCCCUUCUAUCAUCCAAAACAUUGUAGGUUUAACACUCAAUGUACAAGACCGGACUGCACAUUCUACCAUCCCACCAUUAAUGUCCCACCACGACAUGCCUUGAAAUGGAUUCGACCUCAAACCAGCGAAUAGCACCCAGUCCUGCCUGGCAGAAGAUCAUGCAGUUUGGAAGUUUUCAUGUACUGAUGAAAGAUACUCUACAGAACUUGUCAA
rnacentral:lncRNA from 1 species